GCUGGGAUAGCUCAGUAAGUAGAGCAUGAGACUCGUAAUCCCAGGGUCAUGGGUUUGAGCCCCACACUGGGCA